UUUCCUUUAGCUUAAACAACAAAGCGUUAGUUUGAAGCACUAGAGUUAACAGUCGUUAAGGGGGU
rnacentral:tRNA from 2 species